UUCUUCCCUUCUCUCCCUCUUCCUCUUCCAAAUGCCCAAAAAAAAAAUUAGGGCCCAGGUCUGGCCCGAACCCCCUCCAACAUCGGGCCGGGACGCACCGGGGCACGGCCCUGCAUCCUCCAACCCCGAGUCGGGCCGCAAUGGGGCGCGGCCUCGGGACUCAACUACGACACUAGGCGCGGCCUGGGCCUCUCCUCGCUCCCCUCCAUCGCGCCAGGACGGUGAAGGCCCUAUUGAUCCCCCAACUACGACACUACGGCGCCGGGACUCAAUUAGGCAGUUGGCUUGUGGAGAUACAACAGAGUAAUUUGAUGAAUAUCAAUGGCUUGGAAAAAUUAUCCUACUACGCGGAGAGGAGCAUAAGCGAACGGCGACAAGGGCAAGCACCCGACCCUGAUCCUCGAAGCUGUUCAUGACCAAAGAUUUUGGAUACGGCAUGCUUUCUUUGGUGUGGUCGGUCUAACAAUUAUAUCCAUGUCUUGCACUGGACACUUAUUUUCAUUGAUUUA